UUUUUCACUUGAGCUAAAGCUCGGCGCGCCACGCCAAAAGCAUCCCAGGGGUAGAGCACUCUCUGGGUAAGGGUGGCCCAAAGCCUUACCGAUCUCAAUGAAACUCCGAAUACUGGCUGCUUCUUGUUGUAGACAGACCUUUGAUGCUAAGAUCAGAGGUCAAAAGGGAAACAACCCAGAUCAUACGUUAAGGUCCCCAAGAAACCUUUUAGUGAGAAAGGAAGUGAUAGUGCAAAGACAACCAAGAGGUGGGCUUGGAAGCAACCAUCCUUUGAAGAAAGCGCCUGGACUGUUCGUGGUGCAACUAUUACUGCAUUAGGUACAAGGGUUUCUUCCUUACUUGGCUACAAGGAUAGGACUUCAUAAAAUAGAAAA
rnacentral:ncRNA from 1 species